CGUGGUUCUCAUCAAAGCUGCACCUGCUUUCACAUAGUUACUAUGGUCAAAAAGAGCCCAGAAUGACAGUUUUCCUUGAGGGUUGCUGUUCUGUUUGCUCUAACUGAUCUGCAACAUUUCGGAAAAAGACAGUU
rnacentral:snoRNA from 1 species